UGCACAGGUGAUACCAAAGGACUACAAGACCAUGACCGCCUUGGCCAAGGCCAUCUCUAAGAAUGUGCUGUUUGCUCAUCUGGACGACAAUGAGAGAAGUGACAUAUUUGAUGCCAUGUUCCCAGUCACUCACAUUGCAGGGGAAACAGUUAUCCAGCAAGGCGAUGAAGGAGACAACUUCUAUGUGAUUGACCAAGGUGAAGUGGAUGUAAGUGGCUGACAUGGACGCACAAGCACACACA